rnacentral:tRNA from 1 species
GGGGAUGUAGCUCAGAGGGAGAGCAUCGCGUUUGCAACGCGAGGGUCGGGGGUUCGAGUCCCCCCAUCUCCA